rnacentral:tRNA from 1 species
GGGUCGGUGUCCCGAGCGGCAAAGGGGGCUGACUGUAAAUCAGCUGCGUAAGCUUCGCAGGUUCGAGUCCUGCCCGGCCCA